rnacentral:rRNA from 1 species
UUGACCUCGGAUCAGGUAGGGAUACCCGCUGAACUUAAGCAUAUCAAUAAGCGGAGGAAAAGAAACCAACAGGGAUUGCCCUAGUAACGGCGAGUGAAGCGGCAACAGCUCAAAUUUGAAAUCUGGCGUCUCCGGCGUCCGAGUUGUAAUUUGUAGAGGAUGCUUCUGGGCAGCCACCGGUCUAAGUUCCUUGGAACAGGACGUCAUAGAGGGUGAGAAUCCCGUAUGCGACCGGACAGGCACCCUCCACGUAGCUCCUUCGACGAGUCGAGUUGUUUGGGAAUGCAGCUCUAAAUGGGAGGUAAAUUUCUUCUAAAGCUAAAUACCGGCCAGAGACCGAUAGCGCACAAGUAGAGUGAUCGAAAGAUGAAAAGCACUUUGGAAAGAGAGUUAAAAAGCACGUGAAAUUGUUGAAAGGGAAGCGCUUGCAACCAGACUUGCUCGCGGUGUUCCGCCGGUCUUCUGACCGGUCUACUCGCCGCGUUGCAGGCCAGCAUCGUCUGGGGCCGCCGGAUAAGACUUUGGGAAUGUAGCUCCUUCGGGAGUGUUAUAGCCCAUCGUGAUGCGGCGCGUCCCGGGCGAGGUCCGCGCUUCGGCUAGGAUGCUGGCGUAAUGGUUGUAAGCGGCCCGUCUUGAAACACGGACCAAGGAGUCUAACAUCUAUGCGAGUGUUCGGGUGUCAAACCCCUACGCGUAAUGAAAGUGAACGGAGGUGGGAACUUUUUGUGCACCAUCGACCGAUCCUGAUGUCUUCGGAUGGAUUUGAGUAAGAGCAUAGCUGUUGGGACCCGAAAGAUGGUGAACUAUGCCUGAAUAGGGUGAAGCCAGAGGAAACUCUGGUGGAGGCUCGCAGCGGUUCUGACGUGCAAAUCGAUCGUCAAAUUUGGGUAUAGGGGCGAAAGACUAAUCGAACCAUCUAGUAGCUGGU